AGAGUUUGAUCAUGGCUCAGAAUCCCGCUGGCGGCAUGCCUAACACAUGCAAGUCGAGCGAGGAAGUGUAGCAAUACAUGAGUAAAGCGGCGCACGGGUGAGUAACACGUGGAUAACCUGCCUCAAAGUGGGGAAUAACACCGGGAAACCGGUGCUAAUACCGCAUAUUCUGACGAGAUCUGCGGAUUUUGUCAGGGAAGGAGCAAUUCGCUAUGAGAGGGGUCCGCGGCUGAUUAGCUAGUUGGUGAGGUAAUGGCUCACCAAGGCUUUGAUCAGUAGCCGGUCUGGGAGGACGGUCGGCCACACUGGAACUGAGACACGGUCCAGACUCCUACGGGAGGCAGCAGUGGGGAAUUUUUCGCAAUGGGGGCAACCCUGACGAAGCAAUGCCGCGUGGAUGAUGAAGUAUCUCGGUACGUAAAAUCCUUUCGACGGGGACGAAACCGCAAGGUUGACGGUACCCGUAGAAGAAGCCCCGGCUAACUCCGUGCCAGCAGCCGCGGUAAUACGGGGGGGGCGAGCGUUGUUCGGAAUUACUGGGCGUAAAGGGUGCGUAGGCGGCUUUCUAAGUCGGAUGUGAAAACUCUGGGCUCAACCCAGAGCCUGCAUCUGAAACUGGAGAGCUAGGGUUUUGGAGGGGAAAGCGGAAUUCCAGGUGUAGCGGUGAAAUGCGUAGAUAUCUGGAGGAACACCGGUGGCGAAAGCGGCUUUCUGGACAAAUACCGACGCUGAGGCACGAAAGCUAGGGGAGCAAACAGGAUUAGAUACCCUGGNAGUCCUAGCCCUAAACUAUGGAUACUUGCUGUGGGGGGGAUUGAAGCCCCUUGUGGCGAAGCUAACGCAUUAANUAUCCCGCCU
rnacentral:rRNA from 1 species